CCUAUUUGUUUCUUUUUGUCCCUGGCAGAGGAGAGGAACUGGAAAUGGAGCCCUCCCAGUGCUAUGUUGGCCUUUCUGCCUGCUCUUCAGGCUGCCCACAGGGUAUGAGCCAUUCCAAGAGCAGAACAGGCUCUUUCCUGACCUCAGCCACCAGUCAGACAACCUCAGAGGCUGAAGACAGACCCCAGCAAAGGCCUGGAGAGGAUAUUAAGCCUGGAUUUUAACUUAGGAGCUGAACUACACCCACAGGAGGAAUUAAAGCCCAGUGUUGUUCUUUGAUUGAAGGGCACAUUUGGUUGAUGUUGGACCGUGAGUCACUUUAUAUUGGAUUUAUCUCUGUGAAAAGAGUUAUUUGAUUCCUGCAGGUUCCAGCCUGAGCUUAUCCCGUCGCAGGAUUUUCUCCUGACACUGCUCAUGGACAAGGGUGCAGGGCUUGCCUGGCCAGCUUCCCUCCGUGCUGGAGAGCCUGCACUCAGCAGACGUGCCUCGCCGAGCUUCCCGGAGGCUGGAAAAGCAAAUGUGCUUUGG